AGUUCAGGCUGCAAUGCUGGGUCCCGCCCCUUCUUCCGGCUGGGUUCCACUACCUGCAAGGCUGGAACUGACAGCCACUGUGCAAACAAAAAAAGGCAACAAGCAUGCUGGGACCAUUCUGUCUGCUGUUUGGGUCUCACUUGUCCUGACAACUAAAAAUCAUCAGUGGAAAGAAGCUAGAGUCAUCCUAACAAGAGUGAUAGUCUUUCCCCAAGUGAGACCAGGCUGUGCUGUCUGGGGAAAAGCAUUGCUGGCCUUGUCGAGAUGCACCGACGACUCAGCUCAGCUAAGGACUUAACCAGUACAGGACUUGCUGCAGCGGAGCCUGAGCUGGAUAUGGAAAGCAAAAGAAGCAAGAUCUCCCUAUGUUGCCAAGGUUGGUCUGGAACUCCUGAGCUCAAGUGAUCCUCCUGCCUCAGCCUCCUAAAGUGUUAGAAUUAUUGAUGUGAGCCACUGCAUGUGGUCAAUUCUGUCAUUCUUGACAACAAGGAUGAAGCUGGGAGAUACUGUGCUGAGUAGAAUAAACCAAGCACAAAAAGACAAGUGCCUCAUGAGCUCACUUAUAUGUAGAAUCUGUAACAGUCGAACUCAUCAGAGAGCAGAAUAAUGGUUACCAGGGACUAGCAGUAGGCUGGAGGGAGAGGUGGGGAGGUGUCGGUGAAAUAAUAUAAAAUUUCAGUUAGAAAAAAUAAGAUUUAAGAGAUCUAUUGCACAACAUGGUGACUAUAGUUAUUAACACUGUAUUAUAUUCUUGAAAAUCACUAAGAUUUUAAUAUUCUCACCACAAAAAAUAAGCAUGUGAGGUAAUGCAUAUGUUAAUGGCUCAAUUUAGCCAUUUCCAAUGAUUAAAUAUUUGAAAGCAGUUAUAUACCAUAAAUGUGUACCUUUUUAAUUAAAAAAAUUAUUUUCUAGCAGGAUGCUCUGAAAUUGGAACUGAAUAUUACUUAAACCUUGAAGUCUGGGAACAGGGACAUAGUGCUUUUCCAAAACUGCCAGAAAGGUGUCUCUUAAUGCUCUAUGGAUAGAAGUGGCCACCUGUCUUACAGGCUGACGCUGGAGCCCAGCAAAAGUUAUUUUGGUAGACCCUUAUUGUUUAGCAAUGCAAAAAGAGAACCUACUUACUUUCUUUGUAUUAACUCUGGAUACUGAUAAACUAAAUAAAAAUACCUUGGCCAGGGAUAUUAAUUAUUUUGUUUAUUCAUAUAAAA
rnacentral:lncRNA from 1 species